rnacentral:rRNA from 1 species
UAGGGAAUCUUCCGCAAUGGGCGAAAGCCUGACGGAGCAACGCCGCGUGAGUGAUGAAGGUCUUCGGAUCGUAAAACUCUGUUAUUAGGGAAGAACAAAUGUGUAAGUAACUAUGCACAUCUUGACGGUAUCUAACCAGAAAGCCACGGCUAACUACGUGCCAGCAGCCGCGGUAAUACGUAGGUGGCAAGCGUUGUCCGGAUUUAUUGGGCGUAAAGCGAGCGCAGGCGGUCAAUUAAGUCUGAUGUGAAAGCCCCCGGCUCAACCGGGGAGGGUCAUUGGAAACUGGUUGACUUGAGUGCAGAAGAGGAGAGUGGAAUUCCAUGUGUAGCGGUGAAAUGCGUAGAUAUAUGGAGGAACACCAGUGGCGAAGGCGACUCUCUGGUCUGUAACUGACGCUGAGGCUCGAAAGCGUGGGUAGCAAACAGG